rnacentral:rRNA from 1 species
UACGUAGGGUGCGAGCGUUGUCCGGAAUUAUUGGGCGUAAAGAGCUCGUAGGCGGUCUGUCACGUCGGCUGUGAAAACCCGAGGCUCAACCUCGGGCCUGCAGUCGAUACGGGCAGACUAGAGUUCGGUAGGGGAGACUGGAAUUCCUGGUGUAGCGGUGAAAUGCGCAGAUAUCAGGAGGAACACCGGUGGCGAAGGCGGCGACCUGGUCCUUGACUGACGCUGAGGCGCGAAGCGUGGGGAGCAAACAGG